rnacentral:rRNA from 1 species
AUGAACAUCUGGGAGAGCAAAGCUCAUGACUACUCGAUAGUUCAGUGUGCCAUGCUUUACGGCUUAGAAUCGGGACUUCAACGACGUUUUGAACGUCAUGGAGCAUAUGAGAUGUUCCAGGAGUUGAAGUUAAUAUUUCAAGCAAAUGCCCGGAUUGAGAGAUAUGAAGUCUCCAAUAAGUUCUAUAGCUGCAAGAUGGAGAAGAAUAGUUCUGUCAGUGAACAUAUACUCAGAAUGUCUGGGUACCACAACCACUUGAAUCAACUGGGAGUUAAUCUUCCUGAUGAUAGUGCUUUGACAGAGUUCUCCAAUCACUUCCACCAAGCUACAAAAGCUUCGUGA